GCCCGAGUGGCGGAAUUGGUAUACGCAGCGGUCUUAAACACCGUGGCCGUUAACUCGGUCUGUGGGUUCGAAUCCCACCUCGGGCACCA
rnacentral:tRNA from 1 species